rnacentral:rRNA from 1 species
ACUCAAAUGAAUUGACGGGGGCUCGCACAAGCGGUGGAGCAUGCGGUUUAAUUCGAUGUUACGCGAAAAACCUUACCAACCCUUGACAUGGUGGUCGCGGAUCGCAGAGAUGCUUUCCUUCAGUUCGGCUGGACCACACACAGGUGUUGCAUGGCUGUCGUCAGCUCGUGUCGUGAGAUGUUGGGUUAAGUCCCGCAACGAGCGCAACCCUCAUCCUUAUUUGCCAGCGGGUAAUGCCGGGAACUAUAAGGAAACUGCCGGUGAUAAGCCGGAGGAAGGUGGGGACGACGUCAAGUCAUCAUGGCCCUUACGGGUUGGGCUACACGCGUGCUACAAUGGUAACUACAGAGGGAAGCAAUACGGCGACGUGGAGCGAAUCCCUAAAAGUUAUCUCAGUUCGGAUUGUUCUCUGCAACUCGAGAACAUGAAGUUGGAAUCGCUAGUAAUCGCGGAUCAGCAUGCCGCGGUGAAUACGUUCUCGGGCCUUGUACACACCGCCCGU